CACUCCCUCUGGCGGCAUGCCUAACACAUGCAAGUCGAACGAGACCUUCGGGUCUAGUGGCGCACGGGUGCGUAACGCGUGGGAACCUGCCCUUAGGUUCGGAAUAACUCCCCGAAAGGGGUGCUAAUACCGGAUAAUGUCUUCGGACCAAAGAUUUAUCGCCUUUGGAUGGGCCCGCGUUGGAUUAGCUAGUUGGUAGGGUAAAAGCCUACCAAGGCGACGAUCCAUAGCUGGUCUGAGAGGAUGAUCAGCCACACUGGGACUGAGACACGGCCCAGACUCCUACGGGAGGCAGCAGUGGGGAAUAUUGGACAAUGGGCGAAAGCCUGAUCCAGCAAUGCCGCGUGAGUGAUGAAGGCCUUAGGGUUGUAAAGCUCUUUUACCCGGGAUGAUAAUGACAGUACCGGGAGAAUAAGCUCCGGCUAACUCCGUG
rnacentral:rRNA from 1 species